UUUCCUGAGGUCGGCAAUUACAUUACUGAUCGUUGAUCAGGUAAACCCUUGUUAGUCGGACGGUGCAGGAUCGUGUGGUGUUGCGACGGCUUCACGAAAUUGCGUCAAAGACUGGAUGGCCAAAAAAAAAAAAAGGUUUGGAUUGGGACUUCCGUCACAAGUUUGACGGUUGUGUCGGUUGAUAGGGAAAUGGGGAGUGGAUGCCAGG
rnacentral:lncRNA from 1 species